rnacentral:rRNA from 1 species
UACGUAGGGGGCAAGCGUUGUCCGGAUUUAUUGGGCGUAAAGAGCGUGUAGGCAGCCAGGUAGGUCUGCUGUGAAAACUCGAGGCUUAACCUCGAGCUGUCGGCGGAAACCAUCUGGCUAGAGUCCGGAAGAGGAGAAUGGAAUUCCCGGUGUAGCGGUGAAAUGCGCAGAUAUCGGGAAGAACACCCGUGGCGAAGGCGGUUCUCUGGGACGGUACUGACGCUGAGACGCGAAAGCGUGGGGAGCGAACAGG